CAUUGCACCAGCAGCAAAGCAGGCCAGAGACUGGCUGGAUCGCCCCUUUGUGCAGUCGAAAGGUGUCGGGUUUCACCGCGCCGGCUUGGCCAGGCCCCGCGGCCGCCAAUAACACUUCCCUUAGCCGGGCGGGCAGCUGCAGUUAGACCCAGCGUGGCCCCGGUGCUUGCACCUCGCAGAUCUCCCACUUCCGCGGGUGCCGUUUGUUUCAACGCGAAAACCUUGCUCAAACUUGCCAGACUCCGGGCAGCGAAGGACUGCGGCGCCCCGCAGGCUCGGCAGCCCACCCCAAGAGACUUGAGAUCUGCUGCGAGGUGUGUAUUCAGACGAUGGGAUCCGUGUUAAGCAACGAAGGGCGGGAGGCGGCGGCCCCUGCAAGUGCCAGCAGCCCUCAAGAAGGCAUCCGGUUCCCGUUGCAUUUGGGGAGAGCUGGAGAAGAGGACCACCAGCAGCAGGUCCCCUCUUUUGACUGCUCCAUCUGUUUGGAGGUGCUCCACCAGCCCGUAAGGACACGAUGUGGCCACGUAUUUUGUCAAUCCUGUAUUGCCACAAGUUUAAGGAAUAACACAUGGACAUGUCCUUAUUGCCGAGCGUAUCUGCCUUCUGAAGGGCUCCCUGCAACUGAUAUUACCAAGAUGAUGAAAAACAUAUACCAGAACUGUACAGAAUGUGAAACACAGGUGUGCCUCAGUGAAAUGAGAGCUCAUCUGAGGACCUGUGACCAAUAUAUAGAGAAAUAUGGACCUCUACAAGAGGUUGCAUACCCAGUAACAAGAUGUCCUUGUCCUUUCUGCCAGUAUGAGUUGGACGAAGAUGAAUUCCUGGACCAUUUUCUCACUUAUCACAGAUCUGAAAGGAGAGCAGUGUACUGUCCAAUUUGUCGUUUACUACCUGGUGGUGGUCCAAGUUAUUACAGCAGGAAUUUUAUAAGGCACCUUCAGCUCAGACACACAUUCUAUUAUGAAGACUAUAUAAGAGCAACUGAGUCAAUCGUUGACAAAGAUUAACAUAGACUUCUUGCAACAGGAAAGGGGAGAUCAGCCUCUGGCCUCUUCCACAGACAUUAUCUGAUAGAUAUAAAUAUAGUGGAAGAAGUUCUCAUUGAAAGAGUUCUAGACCGGUCAUUACUAGAAUAUGUACAUGUGAAUAAUCCAAACACUGCAUAAUCCUAUCAAAUGGAUUGGAAGAAAUGCCAUAUGGAUUACUUUGUGAAUUAAAAUCUUGGUUAAGUACUGCUAUAAACGUCUGUAAGACUAUAGUUCAGCCUUCCUAAUAAGAGAUUAUAUUUAGGCUUGUCAGAAUUCAGUUUUUCUUAUAGCCAUGGUAGAGGUAAUCUUGAUGGUUUAUGAUCUGCUGAGGCUGUACACACACCCCAGGAUCCUUCUUAAAGCAGUGCACUGUUGAAGAGCAGCAGCAGUAGCCCCAUUUCCUGAGAGAAGACAAAUAGCACAGCUUCUGAGUUUCCUACCACUGCAUCAAGGAUUCCCAGAAGUGCGCAGUUACAAGGGACUACACCAUAUUUCUGACACUAUUAACUUUUCAUUUCUAGUUAAAACUUUUUAAAAGACUUUCAAUUGGCCGCACCCGGUACUCCCACAUGGUAGCUAAUCAAAGCCUGAAAUGUAAUAAGUGAGCAAGCCCUUAGCGAGGAUCAGUUACCACACAAACUCAUGUGCCAUCAAUUCCAUAUACAGACUGGCAAAGUAAUUAAUGCUGUAUCGUUUCCAGUUGCUUCUGUUACAUAUUUAAUAUUUACCUCUAUGUAUUUUGACAUGUGAUGCAGUGUUAGAUGGUUAUAAUACAAGACUUAUUUUACAGAUAACCUCUGUCAUUAGAUCAUUAUUAUCCUUUCCCAGUUUUUUGACAUUAAUACUGGAAAGAAUUGUCUUCCAAUCAUUGUCAAAUUAGCCUUAAAAAUGAUUUUUCUUCAAAUAACCUUAAUUUAGCUUUCAACUUGUAAACGUUUUUUGCCUUGCCUAAUUAUAUUGUUAUUUAAAAAGCUAUAUUCCCUGAUUCCAUUGCGAAAAACAAUUCUAUGUCACUCUUCUGAGUAUUAAAAUUUUAGUUGUUA